AUGCUGCGUCAUCGGCGACGUAACACACACACGCACAGGAAGCAGCUUCGGGUCAGUCGGGCUACCUGUGUUGACCAGGGCUUCAGCGCAGAGACAUGGCUCCUGGAAUUCAUUUGGGGUAAGUCAUUCUUUUCACUGAUUCUUUACUUUAAAAAGUACGUUGCUGUUGUGCCCCUGUGCUCUGACCUUGGUGCCCGUUGUCUCCUGUGCAGGACCUUCUUGCUGUUUUGUUUGGUUCAAGCAGAGCAUGUGUGCGGUUCGUGGGCUGCACAAGCCCAGAGACAAAACGGCAAAGCAUUUGUUGGCUUCUCGCAGCAGGACGUCGGCGCCGGCAGCUCUCCCCGGAAUCAAUUCAGACAGGCCUCCGUUUCCCUGGGCUCGGCCCCGAGCAGCAGCAGCAGCAGCAGCAGCAGCAGCAGCCGCAGCAUCAGCCGCCUCUUCAAUCCAGCGCCUGUCGGUAGCAGUGGCCGCACACAAACUGGGCCACAGCCGGCCCCCGGUGGCUACGCUCCAGUCAGGUCGUUGCAGGGCGGCUGGGUGUCCAAACCCAACUGGAGGCCCACCGACUCGAAGCUGGCGAGUGCUCAAGGUGUGCCCAAAAAGCAGUUGUCUGUACUUUCUACUUCUAUCGCCAGUGGAAGUUCUGUGAGUGUGCACACACUGAAAAAGAAAGCCCAUACCGAUGUGAGCGAGAGGAGAACUUGGCCAGGCGAGGGGGCGUCGGCCUCCCGCCACCAGUCUGCAGCACAGAAGCCUCCCAGUCGGUCUUCCAGCAUGUUGGGUGCGGGUGCUCCGGUGCCCCACAAUUCUGUAAAGAGGCGCACUUCGGCCACCGCCCCCGCCAGACGAGUGUCUUCACAGCGCAGAGCCAAGGAGUUUAGACAAGCUCAGAUCACAUCCCCUGAAAAUGAGAGAAAGGGAAACCCCAACUGGAGCAAGCUGUUUCCUGUGACGGGAGGAACUGCCCAAGGAAGCUAUAAGCCUACUUCCAACAUGGCCUCGAGUCUCGCAAGUUAUCCCCGGGCACCCUACAAACAAAACGCUGCCGUUUUUCAGCCACGCGGUCUCAGCCCACCCACAAGCCAGAGGUUUGGCUCCAGUGAGCAGACCCCCGGCAGUACGAGCUCUGUGCGAGCGGGAAGCUCCCCUCAGCGCUACGCCCCGACCAGGACCCUCAACAUCCCUUGGUCCUUCGGUGGCUCACCCAUCAAGCGGCUGAAAGGGUCAGUUGUCCAGAAGCCACAAGUGAAGCACACGGCUGCGUCUCACAACCUGCAGGGUCAAGGUGUUCAACAGAAGCCACAAGUGAAGCACUCGGCUGCGUCUCUCAACCUGCAGGGUCAAGGUGUUCAACAGAAGCCACAAGUGAGGCACACGGCUGCGUCUCUCAACCUGCAGGGUCAGGGUGUUCAACAGAAGCCACAAGUGAAGCACUCGGCUGCGUCUCUCAACCUGCAGGGUCAAGGUGUUCAACAGAAGCCACAAGUGAGGCACACGGCUGCGUCUCUCAACCUGCAGGGUCAAGGUGUUCACCCAGAGAGCAAAUGGCAGAGGAUCACCAGGCCGCGUCCAACUGCCUAACAGGUGAGCGUUUGUCUUUUCUCACUGUGCUCCAUGUUUCAUAUCCUGGUUUCUAAUGGCCUUUUUUUUUCUCUCUCUCUCUCUAGGUGCAGCAGAAGGACUUGUCCUUGUUUGUGUUUUUGAAAUAAAUUCUUAAUCCAAGUCUUGUCUCGACUUCAUGUGGCACUGCUCUCAAAGCCACAAAUGUCUUUGUGGCUGCACCAUAAAUGUAGACUUGGUGCCACCUAGUGUGUAAAAGGAUGCGAUGCAAAGAUGGCUCCAUCUGAACCAGAUCUGAAUCCCUGCAUUUCUAUUCAGACCUUUUUGAAAAUGCAACAACCAGGUCUCCCUCUCUCCAAAGAUCACCUGGGAAAUGUUACACUUGGGACAAAUGCAGGAACGUUUACAACUUGCUGAAUGUAAACUCUAAAACUUGGCCAAGGCUUUAUACUGCAAAAUACUUAAUAUGCUAGUUUAUAGAUGCUGAUUGUGGGGAAUACAUAUCAGAACACCCAUCUGUCAGUGUUCUUAUGGAAUGAUGACAAUAUCCAAUUGCCUGUUUAUCUCAGUGGUUGAACCCCUCCUCCCUGGCCUUAGUACUUCAGUUGUCCUAAGUAGAUCUCCUGACCUGUUUAAAUCUGUCUCUCCAGAACUUGGAUUCCUGGUAUUAACAUCCAUCCGGAGUAUUAAUUUGAAGUGCCAAUAGCAGUAAUAACAUGCUCUUGCCUAAUUAGCAAUAAAAUAUUAAACCUUUGGCCAAUAUGCAAAUUUGACACCUAGAUGUGGAAUUAAUGUAUGAUUUGGCAUAUUCCCUGUAAUCGACUGGGGGGGACAAUGACGCAGG
ensembl:lncRNA